GACGAACGCUGGCGGCGUGCUUAACACAUGCAAGUCGAACGGAAAGGCCCUGCUUGCAGGGUCCUCGAGUGGCGAACGGGUGAGCAACACGUGGGUGAUCUGCCCUGCACUUCGGGAUAAGCCUGGGAAACUGGGUCUAAUACCGGAUAGGAGCCAUUUUUAGUGUGAUGGUUGGAAAGUUUUUUCGGUGUAGGAUGAGCUCGCGGCCUAUCAGCUUGUUGGUGGGGUAAUGGCCUACCAAGGCGGCGACGGGUAGCCGGCCUGAGAGGGUGGACGGCCACAGUGGGACUGAGAUACGGCCCAGACUCCUACGGGAGGCAGCAGUGGGGAAUAUUGCACAAUGGGCGCAAGCCUGAUGCAGCGACGCCGCGUGGGGGAUGACGGCCUUCGGGUUGUAAACUCCUUUCGCUAGGGACGAAGCUUUUUGUGACGGUACCUAGAUAAGAAGCACCGGCUAACUACGUG
rnacentral:rRNA from 1 species